UGAGUGGGCCAGGUGGCCGCUGGUUGACGGGUGCUUGCAUCCGGUCAACUGGAGGAAAGUCCGGGCUCCGCAGGGCAAGACGCCGGGUAACGCCCGGCGGGGGCAACCCUAGGGAAAGUGCCACAGAAAGCAAACCGCCGGAACAGAAUCUCUUCCGGUAAGGGUGAAAGGGUGCGGUAAGAGCGCACCGCGUUUUCCGGUAACGGAGACGGCACGGCAAACCCCGUCUGGAGCAAGACCAAAUAGGGAAACGUUCAGGGCGGCUCCGUCCAGUUUCCGGGUAGGUCGCUUGAGGUGUCUGGCAACAGCCAUCCUAGAUGAAUGGUCACCCCUCGACCCCAUGGGUUGAGGACAGAACCCGGCUUAUCGGCCCACUCUUUUU
rnacentral:RNase_P_RNA from 1 species